UACCCUCCUCUUAGCUAGGGAUAUGUUUGCGGUUUAGAUCUGGUUUCUUCUUCAUUCACAACGAAACUCUGGUUCUCUUCCUAUCUUCAUUGAAUCAAUUGAUUCUUCAUGGAGAAUCAACCCCAUAAUUCGUAUUCAUACAACUACUCAAGUAAUUCACAAUUGCCUCUAUCUCUUAGUUUGCAUCUUUCUUAGAUUUGGUCUUCUUCUUUUUUCUUUUUUUUCUUUUUUUUUUUAAGUUUGAAGCGUUUAUUCAGAGAUAGAUAGACAAAUAUCAUUCUCGAUUGCCCAAGAGUUCAAAAUUAUAGGUCAAAAAUGAAAUUAUCUGUGCAAUUGAGAUGAUAUGAGGUAUGCGAUUUUUUGUUUCAAAUAAUUAAAGUUAUUUUUUUUCCUCAAUUUCAUUGCAAUUGGAUUUAGUGUUGAUUAGUUAUGCUUGUUGAUUUAAAUCAUUUCUUGCUAAUGAAAAAUUCUUUUACAUAUGAAAAUUUGAGAUGCAUAACCUAGACCCACAUAGGCAUAUCUUGUUUGCUAAAACCCUCAUAGGCAUAUUUGGUUUCCUAUUAACCUUCAAUAAUCAUAUCUGAUUUGUUAUGAAGCCCCAGUAGCCAUAUCUGAUUUGCUAUCGAACUUUAGUAACCAAUAUGAAUUGUUAUUGAACCUCAGUAGCCAUAUUUUAGUUGUUAUUGACUAUGAGUAAUGAUAUUUGAUUUGUUAUUGAACAUUGUUAAUAGUUGUGUGAUUGUUGUUACUAGUGAAUGUUAGUCUAUACUUAUGUUUGUAGCAUUUACUUUUAGUGUUUGUGAUUGAAUGUUAAGAUUUUGGAGUGUAUUGAUUAGUUGGCAUCUUUGUUACUAAAGGUCAGUAACAUUUGUGAAUAUCAUCUUCUGAAGGUACUCACUUCAUGAUUAUUCUUCUUGUGUUAUAUAUUCUAAUCAAGACUGUUGUUGAGGUUUCCAGAACAGAUGGAUGAAGUUGUUUAAUGUGGUCUUUUGGAUCGACAUAGUUGGAAUAACUUGAGGAGGUCCUCCCCUGUAUAACGCUUUUUCGUUGUUCGCUAGUUUGUAUAUUAUAAAAUAUUUAAAUAAGAAAAUUUUGCAAUUGAACUAUAACCAAAACGAACAACUAAUUUUUAUAGGUAAUUCUAAGCGAUGAAUGAGAUAAAAAUAAGAAGUAAAACAAUGGCGAUCAUUUAAAUACAACGUUUUUACGUGCUUGACCAAUAUAUAAAAUAGCAUCUCUAACUUUAAAAAAAAAAUAUGUGUAGAUGUGUGUGUAUACACAAACUAGUUUAUCCUCAUAAACUAAUACAUCACCUAAACUUAUUCUGUAAAUAUUUUUUCCAUAUAUAUUCUUAUUUAUUAAUUUUAGUAAACACUUAAUGAGAAUGUAUUUUUCAAGAACUACUGUGUUAGUUUUUUAUUAAUUUUUGUUAUCAGACUUUGACUUCAUAUAAAAAGAUGUUAUUUAUUAUGAUUUGUAGUUACUGUGCAAUAUUAGGGAUAUUGGGAGGGGGGUCAACUUGAAAGAACACAAACAUUUAUAUAGUUUCUAUAGGUUAAUUAGAUGUUUUGUCAGAUUGCUUAGGGGGGUUUGAACCUCUUCAGGCCUAUAAAUGGUUCCGCCACUGACUAUGUUUUAAUACUUGUAAGAACAGAUAUUACUCAUGUUCCUAUGUUUUUUUAUUUUAUUUAUUUUUUAAUCAAAUACACCAAUCUAUAUUAAAUAUACUAACAAUAUAUAGGGCGAGACAAACGCAACAAAAAUAAAUAAGAAAAAAGAUAACUAGAUGCAAAAACGCAUCUGAAAUGAAAACUAAAUAGAACAAGACCAAAUGCCAUGAGGCAUCAAAUAGUGCGUUGCAUGAGUUUUUUGAGCGGUUAAAGUUGUAACUAUAACCGGUGAUAUGAAUUAUCCAACUUGUUAAAAUUGAAAGAUGACUACAUAAAUUCCAUCCUAACCCAGCAAAAGAUGAAAGUUUUUUUUUUUCCUGAGUUACAAUAGACUCCAUUAUGAAAUCUAGAACGGUACAUACAUAUGAGAUUCAUGAUACCAUACUUUGAAUGUUGCACACUUACCAAGGCCUCUUUUGAUCAUUGUCUGGUAUGGGUAACGAUAUUUUGAGUUGCAACACUUGCUAAGCCUCCUUUUUACAUUUUGAAAACGACUUCAUGAUUUCAAAUUCUCAAUAUGGGGCAUAAUUUUUGGACUUCUACUUAAUUUUCUACCAACAACCGGGGUCAACGGCGUCAACCAGCCCCUAAUAUUUGGUUUCUAUGCCAUGCAAACAUUAUGAAUUCAUCCUGACCCAAUUUGUCACCUCACAACAAAUUUUAGUUGCGCGCUCACUGUAUGGCAUCCCUAGUUUUCUAACCUCAGUUUAUGCUGAGAGUAGGGGUAGGUUCGCGAAACUGAAACGGAAAAAAACCGCACCAAAACCCGAACUAAAGCCGAACAAAACAACACCAAAAAAAAACUGAACAGAAAAAAAAAACCGCACCGAACCGAUUUUGUUCAGUUCGGUUUUCGGUUUUCGGUUUUCGAUUUUCGGUUUUUGCUUGGUGAAAGCCGAACAGAAAACUGAAUUACUGUUCAUAUUUGACAAAACGACAUCGUUUUGUUUUAGGGUUGGAGAACAACUAAACAGCCUCGAGCCCUCGACCCUAGCAUUUUCACUGCCUCACUUCUCUCUGAGUCUCAGCCACUCAGCUCUCACUUCUCUCAGCCCAGCCCCCUUUCGUUUUCAUCUUUGUGGAGUCGCCGUCUCCAUCGCCUCUACCAGAGCCCGUCACUUCCUCAGCCAGUCAACUCUUAGCCCAGCCCCGACGUUUUCCUUUCAUCUAGAUCUUCGUGGACUCACUGUAGCCGCUACCGAAGCCCGAAGACAGGAACUAACGAAGCCACCCGAAGACUCCCGAAGACAGUAGCUAUCCAUCUUUUAGCCUCCAUAUUUGAUUAGUGUAGAAGAUUGUUAUUGGUGAUUUGGUGAAUGGAGUAUAGAAAUCAAUUGCCUCCCAGGUCCUGCACUGCAUUUGUGAAGGAGUAAUUUGCAAAUCUAGAAAAUGAAGAGGCAAUCUAAAUCAGCUGGUACUAGUUCGGGUGCUCAUCCGAAAUCAACUUCAUCAUCUCAAAUCAACACUAGUGUUGGUGAAUCGACAACACCAAUACCAGUUGAAGAAAGAAGUAAUGCUGCAAAUCCGGAAGAAGAAAGAGGAAGCAACCGAGGUUGAAGAUGAUGGAAGUGUGGAAAGCAUCCUUGAGGCGUUGAAAUGGAAAGAAAUGUCAGAUAUUUGGAAUCAUUUUGAGAGGGAUGUGGUGGAUGGUAGAAUUAAGGAUAAAUGUAAUUAUUGCGGAAAGAGUACUAUGCCGAUCCUAGG